AGCGAACGCUGGCGGCAGGCCUAACACAUGCAAGUCGAACGAAGUCUUCGGACUUAGUGGCGGACGGGUGAGUAACACGUGGAACGUGCCUUUAGGUUCGGAAUAACUCAGGGAAACUUGUGCUAAUACCGAAUGUGCCCUUCGGGGGAAAGAUUUAUCGCCUUUAGAGCGGCCCGCGUCUGAUUAGCUAGUUGGUGGGGUAAUGGCCCACCAAGGCUACGAUCAGUAGCUGGUCUGAGAGGAUGACCAGCCACAUUGGGACUGAGACACGGCCCAAACUCCUACGGGAGGCAGCAGUGGGGAAUCUUGCGCAAUGGGCGAAAGCCUGACGCAGCCAUGCCGCGUGGAUGAUGAAGGUCUUAGGAUUGUAAAAUCCUUUCACCGGUGAAGAUAAUGGCUGUAGCCGGAGAAGAAGCCCCGGCUAACUUCGUGCCAGCAGCCGCAGUAACAC
rnacentral:rRNA from 1 species